rnacentral:rRNA from 1 species
GUGGGGAAUCUUCCGCAAUGGACGAAAGUCUGACGGAGCGACGCCGCGUGAGUGAAGAAGGCCUUCGGGUCGUAAAGCUCUGUCAUCAGGGACGAACGGCCGGUGGAGUGGAAAGCCACCGGAUUGACGGUACCUGAGAAGGAAGCCACGGCUAACUACGUGCCAGCAGCCGCGGUAAUACGUAGGUGGCAAGCGUUGUCCGGAAUUAUUGGGCGUAAAGCGCGAGCAGGUGGGAUCUUAAGUCCAUUGUGAAAGUUCGGAGCUCAACUCCGUGAUGGGAUGGAAACUGGGAUUCUUGAGUACCGGAGAGGAAAGCGGAAUUCCCCGUGUAGCGGUGAAAUGCGUAGAUAUGGGGAGGAACACCAGUGGCGAAGGCGGCUUUCUGGACGGUGUCUGACACUGAGGCGCGAAAGCUAGGGGAGCGAACGGGAUUAGAAACCCUGGUAGUCC